rnacentral:lncRNA from 1 species
AGGUGGAUGUUAGGGUCUUGACAGCAGGGGCACCAUCAUCUUGGACAAACACCACCUCUUUAAGUUCUAGCUCCCUUUCUAACCUCAUGCAUUUCAAGGAAAUCACUUCUCUUCUAACAACAAGCAGCAAGAAAGAGCAGACAGUAAAACACAGAUAAGACAGGUCAGACACAGAGGGAGGGGGAAAGUCUCUUGGGUAACCACCAAACUUCACACUCACACAAUGGGCCCCAGUAAAACAGUGGGCCCUGGUAAGCACAUUACUUUCCCUUUAGGUGCACUAAGAUAGGAAAGCUAAAAGAAGACUCAGGGGGUAUGCCUGCAGCUGCAGGAAGAUGUAUACAAAAACUCUCCCUCCCACAUAAGCAAGACAAAGAGACACAGAAACAUUCGAAGCCUGUGAUAAGGUGGCUUUCUAUGGCUAACUGCCCCUAAACCCUGAAAUGUUCCAACUAAUAAACAGGUAUUUCAAGAUUUCUGAUGUAAUAGAAGUGCAUUAAUUCCAGGAAUCAUUGUACUUGUGUAAAGUCUGUGCCUAUGGAGAAUGAGAGUGUUGUUGAUAGUAUUGAAUUAAGUAAAGUAGAAAUCAUUUUUAAUUAAAAAGUAUUAUUCUUAGCUAAUGU